rnacentral:rRNA from 1 species
GUUAAGUCAGGCAACGAGCGAGACCCACGCCCACAGUUGCCAGCGUACUCUCUGGAGUGACGGGUACACUGUGGGACCGCCGGCUGCUAAAGCGGAGGAAGGAAUGGGCAACCGGUAGGUCAGUAUGCCCCGAAUAUCCCGGGCUACACGCGAGCUACAAUGGUUGGUACAAUGGGUAUCUACCCCGAAAGGGGACGGGAAUCUCCUAAAACCAAUCUUAGUUCGGAUUGAGGGCUGCAACUCGCCCUCAUGAAGCUGGAAUCCGUAGUAAUCGCGUUUCAACAGAACGCGGUGAAUACGUCCCUGCUCCUU